rnacentral:pre_miRNA from 1 species
UUAACUCGGAUUUGUAUGAAGUUACGUUUGUCUACGUUUGCCGCUACGUGCGCUGUUCUAACUGCAUACAAAUUUGACUUA